rnacentral:rRNA from 1 species
UGGGGAAUAUUGCACAAUGGGCGCAAGCCUGAUGCAGCCAUGCCGCGUGUAUGAAGAAGGCCUUCGGGUUGUAAAGUACUUUCAGCGAGGAGGAAGGCGUUGUGGUUAAUAACCGCAACGAUUGACGUUACUCGCAGAAGAAGCACCGGCUAACUCCGUGCCAGCAGCCGCGGUAAUACGGAGGGUGCAAGCGUUAAUCGGAAUUACUGGACGUAAAGCGCACGCAGGCGGUCUGUCAAGUCGGAUGUGAAAUCCCCGGGCUCAACCUGGGAACUGCAUCCGAAACUGGCAGGCUAGAGUCUUGUAGAGGGGGGUAGAAUUCCAGGUGUAGCGGUGAAAUGCGUAGAGAUCUGGAGGAAUACCGGUGGCGAAGGCGGCCCCCUGGACAAAGACUGACGCUCAGGUGCGAAAGCGUGGGGAGCAAACA